AUACCUUUUUCAGGCUUUUAGCUAAGAUCCAAGUGUAGUAUCUAUUCCUAUCAGUUUAAUACUUGAUAUGUGGACCAUCAACUAACAAUAUUACCUCUAUUUGUUUCCAGGGAGGAAGGGUCAUCUGAUAUGUGGGUUGUCGGCUCACAGCCAGUCAAGACUUUUCGUUGUCCUCUUUUUGGAAUCUCAAC
rfam:Capsicum annuum cultivar Zunla-1 chromosome 10, whole genome shotgun sequence